AGAUGGCGACCGGCGCACGGGUGAGUAACACGUAUCCAACCUGCCGAUAACUCGGGGAUAGCCUUUCGAAAGAAAGAUUAAUACCCGAUGGUAUAAUCAGACCGCAUGGUUUGAUUAUUAAAGAAUUUCGGUUAUCGAUGGGGAUGCGUUCCAUUAGGCAGUUGGUGAGGUAACGGCCCACCUAGUCAACGAUGGAUAGGGGUUCUGAGAGGAAGGUCCCCCACAUUGGAACUGAGACACGGUCCAA
rnacentral:rRNA from 1 species